UACGGAGGGGGCUAGCGUUGUUCGGAAUUACUGGGCGUAAAGCGCACGUAGGCGGCUUUGUAAGUUAGAGGUGAAAGCCCAGGGCCUUAACCCUGGAAUUGCCUUUAAGACUGCAUCGCUAGAAUCGUGGAGAGGUGAGUGGAAUUCCGAGUGUAGAGGUGAAAUUCGUAGAUAUUCGGAAGAACACCAGUGGCGAAGGCGACUCACUGGACACGUAUUGACGCUGAGGUGGCGAAAAGCGUGGGGGAGC
rnacentral:rRNA from 1 species